rnacentral:tRNA from 1 species
CGAGAUGUAGCUCAGCCGGUAGAGCACUCGCUUCGGGAGCGAGGAGUCGCACGUUCGAAUCGUGCCAUCUCGA